rnacentral:lncRNA from 1 species
AUGCUUACAUUUCUCAAAUUAGCUAACACACGGAAGCUCAAAAAACCCCAAAAUACUUCACUCCUAUUUUACCACCAAAAUGCAACUAGUAAAAGUAUUUUUUGUUUUUCUUUCCAGAAUCAUAGCCGUAGGUCAGUAUUAGAUAAAUGUCUGAACUUGGAGCUCAAAAAGUCUCCUCCGAAUUUAAAUUUAUCCGAAACCAAUUUCAAGAAACCUAUCUUUGCCCGAUCUGUUUCGGAUAAUGGAGUCCUAUCAUCAGGCAAAACAUUAAUCAGCAUCUGUUACUCUCCAACGAGGAAAACAAUUGCCCCUGAGACUGACACCAAGUCCGCAGCCGUACAAGAUGUAGUCUCAGCUUCGAAAGAAAACGCAACCUGUAUCACAAUCAAACACAAAAGUAGUGAAGAUGGAGAAAAGCCGUCUCAAAAAUCUAAAUUGAAGUCAAGUGUAGACUAUUCAUCGAGGGAGAGGAGUGGUGGUGACUUUCGGUCCAGUCCCGAAAAGAAAGAAAAAGAAAAAAUCAGCCCAGAGAGCAAGGGCAUAGUGUCGCAGCGUGUGAACCAACUCAUUGGGCCUGCAGAUGGUGUCGUUCCAGCACCACGGAAAACAUCUCUCUCACACCAAAGACAAAUUCCAGUGGCGGUGAAUCGCCAGCGAGCUCACAGUGCAAGCGAUCGCAUCACUCCGUACUGCAUCAAAGAAAUGGCUGCAUUGUUUGAAAAACCAGAAGAACUGACCAAAAAGUCAUAAAAUUAUCAAAAAUUAUUUUUCUACCUGUUAUUUAGUCAAGACACUAGCCUUUGGGAUAGUUUGUUAUUUUUUUAUUUUUGCUCUGUAUGUCUGAAUCCCAGCUAACCUCACAUGAGCGUAUUAGUUUGAUUUAUUUUUUUGAUCCAGAAAAAAGGGUAUUGAGUUAUAAGAAUGCUUCAAGUUGUUUAUGAGCUCAUCAAAAUUUUCAGUCCUCAAGUCUAUCGGUAUGAAAGUUUCAGGCUGUAUAUGUUCAGUUUGGUAGCCAGUGCUUACAAAGAAAUGGAUGAAUCCUUCAGGAUUUUAAUUUCUGCUUUUAAAAAUCUGUACUUCCAAACCUUGUGCAUGUUGUAGCAAAUAAAUAAAGAUCAGUAAGAUUUUUUUUUUUUAAAGCAUGGCCAAAAGUAUGGUCCUUUACUUAAUAAUAUGUAUCAUUAUUCGUUGCUCGUCAGGGGGUCAGUAAUUUUCUCUUGCCCUUCAAUUUUCAAUCAUCAAAUUUUCUCAACAAAAAAAUCAAAUUCUUUAACACGUCACUCUUUGCUCGUUACUUUUUUACUUUUCUGUGAAUUGUAUUACCCUUACCGAAACAGAGGAUUAGGUUUAGAUCAGAAGGGCAGGGCAUCUGUCUUGUACACAAUGACAUCACAAAUCAUUAUUAACCAAAGAGAUAAAAAAUGAGGCCCAGUGAACUUUUUUUUUAUAAUGUAAACUUUGUUGAAUCUGAUUAUAUUUUAGAUCUAGAGAUUACGUCCUUUGUCCUUUUGAGGGUCUGUAAUUUUUUAUUGUAAUUCUAUCUUGUCAACACACUCUGUUCGUUAAUAAUCAGCAGUUAUUUUUCUUUUUUAAUCUUACUGAAAGGAUCCAAAAACGUAUGAUAACAAACUAACUUUUGGUGCUAGGAAUGCUUUUUCAUCAAGGAUGAUUAUUGAAAGUGGGAAGAAUCUUCAGAAAGUUAUUUUUCUUGAUGAGCUGAAAAUCUAAAAACUGGUUUUUGAUGAAGACUUUGUUGUCAGGAUUAUUUUUUUGUUGUUAAUGUAUUUUUGGCUUUGUUUUAUCUCAAGUUUGUCCCAAUCUUGCAAACUGUGCGUCCUGUACAAGUACUGUUUGGCUUUUAAUCCUGAAAAGUACGAAAAAGCUCUAACCCUUUGAACCUGUGUUGUCUUAAGGCUUGAGCUCAUUUCAUGUCUCUCAGGCACAUCAUUCCACACAACCUUCGUGACUCAUCAUUUGAGUUAAAAUCUCCAGCUGUAAUUUAGAAGGAAUAACUCAUCAAUAGAUAACUAGUAACACUAGUAAUAACUCUGCUGGAGGAACCGAUUCAGAAAUAAAUGUUUUUAAGUUGGAAUCGUGUUUUGAAUUCACAGCAAGAAUGGAAUUUUAUUUUUCUGCAUGAGCCAUUGUUUGAUUUCGCCCAGUUUUUACAGUCAUUUUUAUGAUUUUCCUCUCUAUUUAGGAACUGAUAAAUUCGAGCUGCAGUGGAAAUUUGUAUUGCUUUGUUGCCUCAAAAAGGAAAAAUGGAGUCUCAGCUUUACUAUUAAAUUAUGUGCUUCAGUAUUAUUAGAGAAAAUGUGGUUUUAGGUUUCAAAGGUCUUAUCUGCAAGCUGACAAAUCAAAGGCAUCUUACGUUGUCUUAAAAUGAUCAAACUGCUGCUUUCUAUGUAAACAUUUUUCGUUUUAGAAUAUUUGUGCUUGUUUCAUAAUUUUUGGUGCAUUUUGUACUAAUAUCUCCUAAUUGCAUGUACAAUUUCAUUACUUGAUGCAUUUUUCCAAGAAUACUCAACAUUUUGACCUUGACUUCAAAGUUUGCAUGAAUCAGACAUCUGCCUAUUGUAUACCAUUUAUCAGAUUUACCUAAGUUGUUACUUUGUUUUAUUUUACUCUUUUAAUCAUUUAUCCAACUCGGCUGUGAUUUGACAUUCAGUCCCUUUAAGAUGCUAAAAUGUCGGUCUUCCUGUGCUUUUCAAUUUUAAAUUAGGUCUCAUGAGUUUUAGGAGUUUCUCUUGCAUGAAAUCUCUCAAGAUCUGAGGUGUGAAAAACAGGAAGUCUAUUCUUUAUUGCUUUAUUAUUCUACAAUGUAUUUUCUUGUCUUUUUCUGCCUUGGAAGCGAUUAACAAAAAUUCAUUUGAUCAAUUUUAUCAGUAUUUAAUAUGUACUUGAAUUUCAUCCAAUAAUCAAUAUUAAUCAUACUUCAUCAUAAUUUAGGAAAAUAUACAUCAGGAAUGUUUCAAUAUAUCUAGGAAAUUUGCUUUUGUAAAUUUAGGACUGAACUGAUUUUAAAAAACGAAGGAGAAGAUGGUAUAAAAUAAAGAACUACGUAACAUGUUUUCUCUUCAAAAUUUUAUGAGAAAAACGAAUCGCACGUGGGGAAGUAUGGAAAUGAACUCUUCAACAGGAUAUAACAGUGAAACACAAAGAUAAAAAACGGGAAACAAGGCUAAAAAUACACAAUUAUGAAACCCGAGACGUUUCGACUCAACACUGAGCGUUUUUAGCGUUUUUAUUUUAAAUUUUUAUUGUUUCCGACUGAAAAUGACUCAGUGUUGAGUCGAAACGUCUCGGGUUUCAUAAUUGUGUAUUUUUAGCCUUGUUUCCCGUUUUUCAUCUUUGUGUUUCACUGUUAUCACCGUCUUGGGCUGCUCUUAAAAAUUUGUAUCAACAGGAUAUAAGUCCAUACGAUUAACAUUAGUCAAACGGUAAAAAUACACAUGACGUCAUUUGUAUAAUCUAACUUUCAUUCGAUCUGUGUUGAUAAUAUUUGUUAAUACAUCAUUCUGGAGUUGAUUUCUGAACUUCCUCUUGUGUAAAUUGUUUUCAAUGUAAGAUUUUUGAAGAGGAAACAUGAUACUUUUUCCUAGUUCAUACCUUGUCCAGUUGCCCAUUGACCAAGAGUAUGGUCAUCUUUGGUUGCAAGUACAAUAUAGUGUAAUUAUUCACAUAUCAAUUAAGAAGAAUCAUUUUUAUUCUUUAUUUCUCUCACAGAAACCAACAGAAAAUAAUUUUUUUGAAGACCCUUACUUCUACCCACAAUGUAUUUAUUUUUUAUCAUACUGUCCUGAAGUUCCUUCUCUAAAUUGGAUCGAAUUUUGAAGAAGGUUUAAAGACAAGACUGCUGCACCUGCUGCUAAGAUUAUGUGACUUCUUUUUACAAGGAAACCUAAAAUCUUAAACUGCGUCUGUCUAGUAAUGCCAAAAAAAAAAUCAAAUUAGAAAAUCCCCUGUUUUAAUGUCUCGAACUGGUUUCAGUUAAUGUGUCAAACAAAUCCCAGCAAGAUCACAUGCUCUUGAUUCUUUUUGCAAUGUGCAGUCCGAUCUGUCCCAGUUCCAUCGCUUGUCAAGUAUAAUGGCAAUCUGUUUGGUUGAACUGCUGUGCAGUUUUUUUGAGAGCUGAUUUAUGUUUGAUGUAAAGCUCAACUAAACUUUGUAAUCUAAACGAUCAUAGCCUGUAUUGGUAUUGUGAUUGUAAAGCCUGGAUAACUGGCAAUUUUCGUCAGUAUUUUUCUCAACUCAGUAUCCAAAUUUCUCACUUUUUUUGAAAAUGUUUUACAGUAACUUUUUUUAACCCAUGAUUUUAUUUUUGCCCAGAACUUUACUUAUUUCUUUGCAGUAUAUUUCAGAGUACAGGUUCUCUGUAUGUACUUUAAUUUUUUGUUUAAAAAAUGUGUUUCGUUUACUGCUGUUAUCUAUGAUAAAAAGACAGCAGAAAAUUUCAGAAUGAUUGCUGAAGCUGGUUGUAAAAUUUUAGAGGAGCAAAUGGACUGGCAAGUUCAUGAAAUAAUGAAUAUUUUGGAAAGGAAAAGUUGCAUGAAACAUAAUUGUUAAUAUCUAUCAAAAAAUAUUGAUAAAAAGCUUCAGCUUGGCUCGAAAUGAAAAUUUAAAAAAAAAGAAAUAAAAUCUUGGUGAGCGUUUGCUGACUAUCUAUGCUGUACCUAGUUUUAGUUCCUGAGGUUAAAUUGCAAAAUUUCUCAUUCAUCAGAAAAAUUGGUUUCUUCGUGGAUGUAAGUUAUAAAUUGUUAUUAAUUCGUCUUUUAUUCUGCAACAAUCAAUCAUAAUUAGGAUUAUUAAUUAAUUCCCUCAAUUAAUAUUGUUGCGGACAUUGUCAAGAGCCUUACUUUUCCUUGCUGAAUUUUAAGUUGUGGGCGUCAUAGAAGCUUGCAUAAUUUAUUGACAAUAGCUCUCACUUAGAAUGUCUUCUCUUGUUAUGUUUUAGAUCCAAAGAUGUAGUUAUUGAUAAGCUGUGUCAUAUUGCUUAAGAUAUUUUGUUUUAAUUUAAAUCAGUCUCAUGUACCUAUAUAAAUAAACUGCCCUCUUUAUUUUGCUCUUGUAAAUUGUAAUUUUAGUGUAUAUACAUGUUUUUUUUACUGCAUUUAGACACAUGCAUUUGUACAUAUUACAUGCAUGUCUUUUAUUGUAUACAUACAAUGAAUACAAUUGCCGAAGU